rnacentral:sRNA from 1 species
UGAGCUCCAGGCCACGACCUGAGGGCAGGAAGGCCACCAACCUCUCUGGGAGCUGUGGACUAUAGCUGCUCUCCGAGGCCUGAUUAACUGGUGCACUCCCUUUUGAAACCCACCUGGAACGCCUGGAUCAGGGUCUCUUAAGGACUUCUCUCCAGGAGGAACGGCCUAUGCUCUUUUCCUGUUCCACCGCACUGGCUUUCUAGACUCACAACCGGAUGCUGCGAAGGCCGCAGCCCAAGGAAGCAGGAAUAAAACAAGACGAUAAGUCAGAAGGUGAACACAGGUCUGACCUAAGCAGGUAAGAGAGUAAAUCCACAGCAGGAAGGGCAGAGCUGCGUCUUCCUAGGUGAAAGCAACUUAAGAAAACGUGCAACAAUGCCAGGCGUGGUGGCACAGUGAUGCGGACUCAGGCAGGAGGAUUAUGCUUUAAAACAUCACUUAUCAAAACCCUGCUUCAAAACAAAGGCAAAACAAAACAAGGCAGCUUCUGCCCACUGGAAAGCAUCUCUAGAUGAAACGGGUCAGGGCGCUGGUCCACUCCGUGCUGUUACUUCAGAGGACCGCGGAUGGAUACUUUGUACUUCAGAGCACCGCGGAUGGAUACUUUGUACUUCAGAGGACUGCAGAUGGAUACUUUGUACUGGACAGAAAUUUAUUCCUCACACCUCUGGAAGGUGGAGCCUGAGAUCAAGGAGCCUUUAGGCUAGGUCUGGGCUCCCUUCAGCCGUUGCCUUGCACUGUCCUCCCUAAGAAAGGAGUGCUCCACACUGUGCACUCCACAGCCUCAUGGCCGAGCACACUCUCCCCUCCAGACCUCGUUCACAAGGGCUCUGCCAAACAGCACCCAAAGGCCCCAACCCUGCUGCUCUGGGGACAGACUAUGAAAGGUGAAUUUUGGAGAGAGAGAUCUUCAUACCACAGAAGGGGUCUUUGGCUGGGCCGGAGCAAGAGCAUCUCAUCCAGAAAGGCUCUCCAUCCCUGAAUAGUUUGUAGUGUGGAGUGGGGUGGAAGUGGGGGACUGGAGGUCAAUUUGUGUACAAGCUGAGGACACUCCUGGCAGAAUCAGGACACUUCCUGGAGGACUCCUCCAGCCCGAGGCUCCUAGAUGAGCGCACACAGCUUCUCCCACACUCCCUGCUCCUGUGGCUGUGAGACCUAGAAUCUAUUCUAUUCUAUACAUCAAGGCUGCUUCUGAGAAGACAGAGGUGAUUUGUUUUGAUCUACUAAUGGCUGUGCAAGUAGACACAUAUGCACACGCAGUCUACUCUGUCGUCUGGGUGGACACCAUGCCUCAGUGUGACAGGAAACAAGCCACCUUCAGGCCUUAGUGUGAGUAUGAGGCAGACAGCAGCGCUGGAGGGGGUGUACUUCUGUGAGCUGCUCCUGUUUCCAAGAUUGACAGUACAGACAGACAGGGUACAUCCUGAGUGCAGAAUCAAAAUCAAAAAGCGGAUCACACACUUCCAACAUCACAGGAUAUGUUACCAUUCCAAACAUCAUUGUGAAGAGACCCUGGAUAGAAACAAGAUCAAAAACUGACUGGGAAAACUCCAAUUCUGCAUCUCCGCGUCUGCUGUCCAUCUCCUUUCAGUGUUGUUGGCUGCAACACAGUUCUUCCUCUCGGGCUGGCUCCACCCCCUGUUUGCAGCUUUCCUCAGCAGGUGUCCCACAGCUCUGGCGUCUCUAACAUCUUGGGGUCUCCAAGGCAACUUCAACUUCAUAGCUUCUUGUUUCAAUAUCUGGGAUCCUGUAUAUCCCCUCGAAAGGGCCAGCUUUGCCUUGAGUCUGGUUAUAGGUCCAGAAGAAACUACUGGGGGGGCCCUUGAGGAACAUCCAUAUUGUUUCGCCUGACAUUUUCUUCAGAAAGUCACUGCUGGUUUAUCAGACAAUGAAGGAUUAAUUUCCUUGACUGAAAAGGGCAUUUCACGGGCGAGGGCUAAAAGUACUUUUUCCUCAGGUACUCAAACUUCUUCAAAGUUCUCAGCUUCAACCGGGUCCUCCCACAUACCCCCAUUCCGGGUUUAAGGAUCCCAUUCUUGGCCAAUCAAUGUGCUCGCUUUAACUGCUGACACCCUCCGAGUCUGAGACUCGAAUUUUUGCUGUAAUUCUGCAAAACUUACAACAAGGGCUUCGGUUUGAUUUUCUGCAACUUGAGCUCUAUGGCUGCUGGAGAGAAGGUUCUCUUCAAGGGCACAUCUAGAAACCUUUAGAUUGUUCAUUCUGGAGCCAGGCAAGUUUAUCACGCAGUUCAUUCCUUUCGUUUAUCAACCAACUUCUGUGCAUGGCCCUUCAGUCCUGGGCUGUCAGCUGCAACUGAGGCUGC